CCAAGACUUACUGAAAUUCAACAUUAACAGUCCAACGAGAUCUUCAGCCAACUCUUUUAAAAAUCUUGGAUGUGAGUUAUCUGGAUCAAUACCAUUCCAGAUAUGUGCUCCUCGGACUGCAGCUCCAACGGGGCCACCUGGGAAACCCAUCAUGAAUAGCAUGCAGAACCUCGCUCCCGAGCAAUGGAACAAACUCCAUCAUCCCCUGGGCAGCAGGACUGUGCAAACACAGUUCCUCACUUUGAACCGCUUGUGCAUUCCCCUCUUCCGGUCGGGCAGAUGAGUUCGGAAGCUAAUGGGCUCCAUUCAUCCCUUACAUUCCUCUGGCAGAACACACGCUCCAGACCUCCAGUGGCAGAAAGUUUGCCAACAGUAGGGAUGUGGCGGAGUACGCUCCUGCAACCCUCCACUGUGCCAAGGGACUGGAGCAAGCUGGAGAAGGCCCAGUGGGUAUGUCUACACUGCACACUAAGCCCAGGCUCUGACUCAGGUUUGAGCCCAAAUUCCCCUUCACACAAAUCAGUCCGACUCAGGUCAGCAGGUGCUCAGGACCUAGGGCUCUGCUUAGGGAGUGGGUCAGAGCCUGAGUCCCGCCGAGUCUUGGGUCCAACCCCUGUCAUUCUGCAGUGUGGAUGCAGAGCAAGCUGCAAAUGUGAGUCCGAAACAAUGGUGUAGUGGGGCUGGCUCUCUGUGGAACCAUGUACUGGGACUAUUGCCUCAUGGCGCACGCCAUUUUGAGGUCGCACUGCACGGAGGAUGCCAUUUUAGAACGUGCGAGGUCAUGAUGGCCCAUUCCGGACUAUACCACUGGUCAGAAGGUCUGCGUAGUGCAGUACAGACAUGUUAGCACUGCUGCGUCGGGCAGUGCGGGCCAGGGUCCAGCAAUUGUAAACCGAGGUUUAUAAUGUAGUGUGGAUGCUCAAGUGGUGGCUUGGAUACAUGGAGUCCCACAAGCCUGGGUCCCCAAGACCCGAGUUUGCAAUGCUGUAUAGAUGUAUCCAAAGUGGGCAGAGCCAGCCCAGGAGAGGGUGUAGCCAGGCCUGUCAGGAGCUGCAUUGAUUCAGUGCUUUCCUUGGGCAGCCUCCACUCCCCUGUGGAACCCUGGGCUGAUAUUAUUUUAAAGCUACCUUCUCUAGCGAAACAGCUGUGGGAGGCAGCUGCAGUACCACCCUCCCUGCAGGGAGAAUCCGCCCCGGGGUCCAUUAGUUCCCUGGCUGCUCCCACAGCAGGCAACCCAUACAUUGUAGCUCCUGUGUCGGACCCCUGUGAUGUUCCACCUGCCUGCCCUCACCUGUGCCACAGUAACAGAGACGUGCUGGGGGAGCUUUGCUCCUGCUGGCGGUUCCCUUAGACCUUUGGGAUCUCUGAGGUAAGAUGGUCUCCUGUGAUCUUGGCCACUUGUGGCUUUUAAGAAAUCCAGCGCCGUUCUUGCAGGGAUAUUAGCCUGAGGCUCCUGGCCAGACUUCAGCUGGGGGAUUCCAAGGGGCCAAUGUCAUCUUUGGUAAAACUUCAUUGACCUCAGCAUAGUUACACCAAGGAUAAACUAUACCAGCUUGUGCGCCAGGACUCACGAAACUGGGCAGUCACAUACAUUAUAACCUGACUGUGGUCACAGGUCAUCUACCUACUCAAGCCAUAGCACCCCUUGGUAAGUCCUGUGUGACUUCUCAUCUCCAUCAGGAGUCAGGAUUGACAUGUACAACCUUCCGUAAGGUGGAAAGGUCACAUACUGAUGUGAUUGACUCCAUCUGCAGCAAUGUGUUGGGUGAAGCUAAUGUGGCUUGAAAGCAAUGUGUUCACGGAUUGAGCAAUAUGCGAUGGAUGCUUGUUUGGUUUCUUUCUCUGGCGACGCCCAUAAAAUGAACUUGUGACAAAGAA